CAGGAUUCCCGCCUCUUGGCCCCGCCCCGUCCCCUCUCCUCCCGCGCCUGUCCCGGCCAGCCUCACCUCGCCGAUCAUGCCGUUCCAGACGCCGUCGAUCUUCUUCCCGUGCUUGCCGUUAGUGACCAGCGUAGCCACCGUGAGGUGCUGUGUGUCAUCCACUGGCUGCAGGAAGCGGCCAUAGCGGGACCAGAGGGGAUACUUGAGACGGAGAGUCUGCUGCUCCCAGCUGCCCACCUUGGUCAAAGAGAAAAGACGGUACAGUGAAGGAACUACAUGCCCCUGAAGGCAACGGGUGUACACGGAGCUGGCCACAGUGCCCAACAGAUAGUGAACAGUGGAUCACAUUUAGCAGCAAUGGAGGCACAAGGGACCACCUUGCUAGGUAUUCCAC